CAGGGAAAGAGAGUAACCUCCCAGUGGAGGACCCAGCACACAUGACCCUCACCAAGUGACCAAGACGAGCACUUCCUGAGAGAAGACGCACGCACGCCGCUAGUCCCUGAUGAGAUGCCCACAGAAGAACACUUAUGGGCGUCUGUCCUAGCCAUCAACAGACUACCUCUCAGAGGGAGAUCCAGCUGCACUGCCCUGCUUGGGACGAACAGCAAGUCCCCUUUGCCAGCUGGCACCAUGUCAAGCUCUGCCAGUAGAGGGCACUGGAGGGACACGGGAGGCCUCGGGUUCUGGUGAGGAGCUCCCUGUGAGGCACCACCCUGUGGGCAGCCUCCUCCUUCUCCCAGAGGGAAACUCAGCACACUGCCCCACCUGGGUAUUUCCGGAGGCUUCCGGGGUAGGACACCUCCCACAGAUAUCCGUCCCAGGCACUGCGAUGAGUCCCACCUUAACGGGGUCUUGGUGAAAAUUCUGCCAUCCAGUGGACUAUGGCCUGGUCUGGACUCAGUCACGGCAGACGUGACUCCUAACCUGUUCCCUCCUUGGGCACACUGCCAGAGCCCUCGAGGCAGUGGCUGCUCCCAAAUCCGCAUUCCUGAACUGUCGAGAGCUCUUCGCCUCCUAGAAACUGAUACCCUACUAUAGAAUGCAAGUAAGGACUCGGCUUUCUUUGCUACUAACCCCAAUGGAAGGAACCUGCUCCGUGUGUAAUCGGCACUGGAGAAUCUUUGCAGGUAAGCAGGAAGGAAUGAAGAGAGGAAGACACACAGGAACCAAGGAGGGAAAACAGAGAAAUAGGGACAAGAGUUGAUGGAGGUAGGAUGGAUGGAUGGAUGGGUGGAUGGAUGGAUGGAAGGUGACCUCCCAACUC